AAUAAGAUGUCUGAAGAUUUAGGUCUGAACUGUAAAUUCAAUUAUGUGUUAAAAUACUCUUAUUA
rnacentral:tRNA from 1 species